UACGGAGGGAGCUAGCGUUGUUCGGAAUUACUGGGCGUAAAGCGCACGUAGGCGGCUUUCUAAGUCGGGGGUGAAAUCCUGGAGCUCAACUCCAGAACUGCCUUCGAUACUGGAGAGCUCGAGUCCGGGAGAGGUGAGUGGAACUGCGAGUGUAGAGGUGAAAUUCGUAGAUAUUCGCAAGAACACCAGUGGCGAAGGCGGCUCACUGGCCCGGUACUGACGUUGAGGUGCGAAAGCGUGGGGAGCAAACAGG
rnacentral:rRNA from 1 species